UUCAGAUGGAGUUUUGCUCUUGUUGCCCAGGCUGGAGUGCAAUGGUGCCAUCUAGGCUCGCUACAACCUCCACCUCCCAGGUUCAAUGGAUUCUCCUGCCUCAGCUUCCUGAGUAGCUUGGAUUACAGGCAUGUGCCACCACACCUGGCUAAUUUUGUAUUUUUAGUAGAGAUGGGAUUUCACCAUGUUGGUCAGGCUGGUCUCGAACUCCUGAUCUCAAGUGAUCCACCUGCCUUGGUCUCCCAAAGUGCUGGGAUUACAGGCAUGAGGCACCAUGCCUGGCCCUAUAUGGCCUUUUACAGAAAACAUUUGCCAGCCUCUGGACUAAGAGUAUGGUGGAACCACAGGAUGAAAAGAUCCCGACUCCCUGAUUGACUACAUGGAGCAAAACUCCUCAUCUUCCCCAAUCCAGUCAAUCUACACUGAACUGUAAUAGAAGUUUCUGCAACUUCCUUUUAGGAAAAUAGAC
rnacentral:lncRNA from 1 species